GCUGGCGUAGCUCAGAGGUAGAGCAGGGUCCUCGUAAGACUCAGGCCGCGGGUUCAAUUCCCGCCGCCAGCUCCA
rnacentral:tRNA from 1 species